ensembl:lncRNA
CCGCUGUGGAACUUUUGAGUCGUUCCUUCUAGUGCCUUCAGGAGAACACCCUUCCUGAGCUCGAGCAGCAGUGUUUGUGCAAGAGAGAGAAAACAUCUUUCUGACACAGAGAGGCUAACUCCACCGGUUUCUUCUUGCUGCAGCCCUUCUCCAUAAAGGCAAAUAAGGUUAAUCAGCGUUCAGCGUCCUCCGGCCAAAGCCGGAGGUGUGAAUUCCAGCGCUGAGAUCAGUCGAACACCUCAGCGAGCAAGCCACUGAAUGACUGUUUGAGCUCAGGCGCCACAAACAUAAACUUAACAGCUCCCAGUGUGCCGGCCUUGCUGCAGGAUCACUCCUCACCUCCCGGGACUUGUGAAGUGCAGGCGGAGAAGGCAGCUCCCGAGGAGGCGGCGGGGAGGCAGGCUCCGGAGGGGGCUGGGGAGGCAAUGCUCUGUGACCGAGCUUUCCGUAUGGUAUUGUAUCUGCUGUCGUUAGCCAGGGAAAAGGGUGCAAAACUAAUCGAUGCCUUUCCCCGAGGCUCCUGUCUGUGCCGGAAGUUGGGGCAAGGUCCGUGCGCCGCUCUUCGCAGCAAUCGAGCCGGGAAAGGAGGCUUUUGCUUCGAGCUGCUGUUUCACAGUACUGAUUUUUCUUUCUUGCGGCUCACCACACUAAAAGCUCAGGAGGGAAAGCGGAGGAGGUGGGGGUGCCGCGCAGCAUCACCGCACCCGGCCUGAUCUCAGUAACGGGACAGCCUUUCCACUGGUUUACCUGCGGCUCCGGAUUGCUCCGGCGGCGUGGGGGGACGAGAUGUGGGGAGAAGGAAGGAGAAAGGUUACGAAACAGGAUUUUUGUUGAAGAGUGUGGCCAUUUUUUAAAAUUGUAUUUGUUUGUUUGUUUGUUUUACUCCUGUUAUACAAAAUAGGACAAGGUAUGUUUGUGGGAGAGAGAGAGGGUGAAGAAGUUUUCAAGAAAUAAGUGACACGGAGCAAAGCAGAGCUCUACUCCUAUCUUAGGGCGGCAAUGGGAAGAGGAAAAUAGGGUGUUACUGUGGCUUUUCUUUGGGAGGGUUGUUCGGGUCGGUAGAUCUCCAACGCUAAUCCAAACAACCCGUUUGACUUGUGAGGUCCGGAGUCUAGACAGAGCUGGUGGCUCGGCGGCUCCUUAUCUGGUUUUGGAAUCAGCCGAAAGAGACUUUUCUUAAUGUCCACAGCAGCACUGGGAUCUGCGGGGGCCGGGUAGCCACCGCACCUCGCAGACAGGACAACAAAUACACCCACCACCUGGAGGCUUUAUAGCCCGCUUUGUUGUUCCCGAUCUCUGUCUCGCCCCUGCCCUCGGCCGCCGGGCCGGGGUAACCCACGUCCCGCGGUUUGCUUAAUACAACAUAGACCUGCUGCUCGCCCUGUAUCCCCCCGGGCACUCAAAGGCUACCUCCACAGCAGUAUGGGACAGUGGGCACUCGAUUUCUGAUGGGUUAUUUUAUAAUCCUGAUGUGCUGUUAUUUAAUUCCUUUAUCUUUCCCUUUCUUUUGCUCUUUCUUUCUUUUACUCUGUCUUUCUGUCCUCUCUUUCUCUCUCUCUCCCUUCCUUCCUUCUCUCUUCUUUCUUCUUUCCUUCCCUCUCUUUUUCCCACCUUCCUUCCUUUCUUUCCUUUUUUUUUUCCCUUUCCCCUUGUGUAUGACACUAUUAUUAUUAUUAUUAUUAUUAUUAUUAUUAUUAUUAUUAUUAUUAUUAUUAUUUUUCCAAUUGGAGUUUUGCAGACAAUGGAAAACAAACAAACAACAAACAAACAAACUGACAGCUAUUCAAAAUCACCAGAGAUCACCAACACUGGAGACUGAUUGAAGCAAGUCAAUCAAGAGAGAGGAAGUCUGUUUAGAUAUAAGACCUUCGUUGGAGGUAGAAAAUUGCCCUCUAUAUUAGUUCCUUUGUGCUGGAUUUGUGGAUAUUCUGAGUAAUAAAGCAUGUUAAAUGGAGUUCAGAUCAGUAAAAGCAUUUAGCUCAGUAGCAAGCAGUAUUUUGGAAAGUAGGGAGAAAGGUGCAUCUUUUGGUUGGAUAUUCCUUUUCCUAUUUAUUCAUUCAUUUUCUUAAUGCCUCCGAAUCUUGUGUCAUAUUAGGUGGAUGCCUGGUAUAUUUCCAAGUUUGAGCAUUGCUUGAGCUCGUCUACCAUCUCUGCUGUUUCUCUACCAUAACACAAGACAAUUUGCAGUAAAUGCAUGUGAUUCCUUUCCAAAACCCAUGCUGUUUCUCAGUGUAGUUGAGUUCAGGGCCAUGAUACUUCAUUUUGGAAGAAAGCAAGCUGAUUACUGUAACUAUGAUGUACUGAUAUGCUAUUUGCAGCAGAUAUUGUAAUUGAGUCUGCUAAUGUGGAAUUAUGAAAUUUGCCACUGGGUAGGACUCUUUCUCUCUGCAAUUUAGAAGGUUUGUGGUUUGUGGAUAAGUGCUGUUUUCUAGAUUUACCAGUUGUAAAUGUCCUUGUGUACAGAGCAAAUUAUAUGGCAAAGCUUUUGUAAUAAUUUUCCAUCAAAUACAAUUAAAGCAUUUUAAACUCUCAAUAACUCAGGGAAUUUGGGACCAAGAGAGCAUCAUUUUCCUAGCAAAGGAAUCUUAACCAUGAUCCUGGUACUUCUCUCUCUCUUUUUUUUCUUUCUUUCUCAUGGGUAAAACUUAGUGUUUAUUUUUAUCUGUCACAAAUACAAAGUGUUGUUUGAAAUGUGUUAAACUUAGCAGGUAUAUAGAGAUAAUACUGACGUGUCACUGUGCAUGAUAAAGUAAAAUAUGGUGGGAAUUAACUUGAAAAGUUUAUGAAAGUUUUAACUACAGCCCAUAAAUUAACUUAAAAAAAAAAAAAAAAAAAAAAGGACGAUGAUAUGAUGAUACAUAUAUAUAGGAGAUCUUACAAUAUAUAUAACACCUUAGAAAUACCCCAGUAUUAAAAGCCCAAACAUUUUUUACCCCAGACUGAAGAUGAGCCCUUACAGUGCUUACUGCAAGUAACUUGAAGCAAUUAUUACAACUCUGGUGAUUCCGUAAUUGCAGGGGCAAACUUUAAAGGUUACAGAGAGACUUUUGUGAAGUUUUGCUGCGAACGUCUCAUGAAGCGGGAAUGCAUAUCACUGAAGGGUUCAGCCCAAUGUUCUCUGAUGUUAGUGGCAAAGAUCCCUUGACAUGUGAGUAUAAAAUCAGUGGUUUUCAGUACCUACUAUUUUGUAGGUACCCAAUGUGGAUUUAUCAGUUUAGUAAUUUCCAUUGCUUUAUUAAUAUUUGACCUUAAAUGGCUGCAUAAUUUUCUUUUAUAGUACUAAAAAAGUCCAACAAUAAUACUCACAAACUUUCAGUGCAUCACUGAAAGCAUUUUGCUUGGUAGAGUAAUUAGAAAUAUAAGUCAAUAGCAUAUCUGUAUGUACAGAAUAUUUUAAAAUAAAACCACUGCCCAACUCACUUACAGUCUCUAAAGAGAAAUUUCAUGUCUCAUAAUUUUUAGGGCAGGAGACAAUAUACAAAUUACUUGCACAAUACUUUACAGAAGAGCAAUCCUAGAAAAAAACUGAACAGAAUUAGCCUCACACCAUUUUGCAGUCCUAAUUUACAUGCAUUUUGUCUUCAUGAUAUGAAACAUGGGGAAAUUUUACAGGAUUUGUCCCCAUUAGCAUGGCUGGAAUUUAGAACUGAAUGACCUCAGGUUCCACACUCGGCUCAGUCAGUGGUUUUUCAGGUGUGCUAAAGAUGCAGGAUUUUGUUUAGUGAAAAUGAAUUUGUAGUAAAUCAAUAUAUUCACUUUAUUCAAAAUUUUUUUUUUUUUUUUAAUAAAUUCCCUAUGGUCUUUAAGAGGGUCACAUGUUCUCAAUUUAAUUGUGUUCAUCUCUUUUCAAAGUCAGUUAUUUCUGCCUAUUAUGUAGAAGCAAAACCAAGACCAUUUGGAUUAUUGAAAUGAUGAACCUCAUACCAUAUUUCUUUCUGGUAACAAUAUUAUUAUGAGGUACUUCAGAGGAGAAGGAUUGGAUUGGUCAUUAAAGUAGUCCUGGAAGCAAAAUGCCACCAUUUGGGAUGUCAGUUCUACAGUUCAUAGGCUAUUCAAAACAAACUGUGUAAAGGAAAUAUAUUUGCAGUUUUAAUUUAACUUAUUAAAUUAUCAUUACAAGAAAAAAAAAUCACUGAGAAUUAAGAAAGGCAGAUAGUACUUCGUACAUCAAAAUGACUGCUAAGAUUGUGUUUCUAAGUUUCUUUGUGAAUAUUUUGUUUAUAAAAAUACAUUAGUUUCUGAAAUUCAUGGACACAUUUGGGUGUGCCUACAAUUGUUCCGUGAUUGUGCAGUGCCUAAUACAAAGGGUCAGGCUUCUCUCAGGUUCUUAGAGCUCUGCUGUAACCAACCUGGUCAAUAAAAGGAAGUAAAAGGCCAUGGUAAUAUAUAACCACACUCUAAUAACUGGCCAUAUAAAGCCUCGUGUCUUUUAUAUGCUUAAUUCCAACAACAACUACAAAAAAUCUAAUUUUUUUAGUUCACUUAUUCCUGUUUCUAUGGCAAAAAUGUUGUUAACUCUCACAGGAGAGUUUGGUCUCUUCAUGCAGUAAGUGCCUCAAAGAAGUGGGAAUUAAGAAUGAAAUUGCAUGACAAGCAGCAGCAUUACAAUUAGCAGUACAAGUUUUAUGCUGCAAGCAUCAAGUCUGGAAGGAAAAAACACUGAAAGAUGAAAGUCCUGUAAUGCAGGAUCAAAAGUUUGGCUGACUUUUACAGUUAGGAAAACAACAUGUUAAUUCUUUAGAGUUUUAGCUUCCUUCAACUAUUUAGUAAGAGAAAUUUACAUAUUUCUGAAAAUAUUUUUAUUUUUGGUAUAUAUUGCUGGACCAAAUACAGUAGCUGUGGAUUAAAAAAAAAAAAAAAAAAAAAAAAAGGCAAAAAAAAAAUUUGUCCAGUUAACAAUCAGUUAAAAACUACAAGCUAUUUCAUCCAAUUCUUAAUCAUAUUUUUCAGUCAGGUGGUGAUAAAUUGAGUUGUCCUGCAGAUCAUGCUUUUGUUUUGUUUUGUUUUUUUCUUUUUUUAAUGCUUUUUUAUACUGUAAGGAAUAAUCUACAUCUUUUGGUAAAGUUAGUGGAGUCAGGUGGAGGUACAUGCUUUCACACUUUUCUGAAUGUGGGGCCUAAAAGGAACAAAUAAUUAGUGUUCCCAUGCAAAAUUUAGGUCAGCGAAUCUCCCAGGGGCAGUGGCAUGGUAAAUGUAAUUGUGAGGGCAAUGUGCAAGAGUGAAAGGAAGGAUGGAGGAGGAUUAUCUACCUUUGACAUGACACAGAGCCUGUGACACCCUGAUAACUCUCUCUCAAGCUGCAGCCAUGGCUUCAUUGCCCAGCCCAGUCUUGUGCUUUUUCAGCUCACUGCUUGAAAGGGGCAGCAACGUUUCUGCUGAGGAAGGGUGGAUUGCUUUGCCCUGGGCUCAGCUGAAAUGGUUAAACGAGUACUACACUCCUAGCAGAAAUCUUGAAAAGAAUUGUAGAAUAGUUCCUUAAGCAUGGAGCUGCUUCAUUCUCACAUCUGUACAGGAAGAGGCACUGAC